rnacentral:tRNA from 1 species
GAGGGUAUGGCUCAGUGGCAGAGUGCAUGCUUAGCAUGCAUGAGGUCCUGGUUCUAUCUCUAGUACCUCCA